rnacentral:rRNA from 1 species
UCAGUAACGGCGAGUGAAGCGGCAAAAGCUCAAAUUUGAAAUCUGGCACUUUCAGUGUCCGAGUUGUAAUUUGUAGAAUUAGUUUUGGAACUGGUCCUUAUCUAUGUUUCUUGGAACAGGACGUCAUAGAGGGUGAGAACCCCGUAUGAUGAGGCCCCCUUUCCUUUGUAAAACGCUUUCGAAGAGUCGAGUUGUUUGGGAAUGCAGCUCUAAGUGGGUGGUAAAUUCCAUCUAAAGCUAAAUAUUGGCGAGAGACCGAUAGCGAACAAGUACAGUGAUGGAAAGAUGAAAAGAACUUUGAAAAGAGAGUGAAAAAGUACGUGAAAUUGUUGAAAGGGAAGGGCAUUUGAUCAGACAUGGUGUUUUGCGCCCUUUGCUCCUUGUGGGCGGAGGAUACGCAGCUCACUGGGCCAACAUCAGUUUUGGGAGCAGGAUAAAUCUGUAGGAACGUAGCUUUCUUCUGGAAGUGUUAUGGCCUA